AGUAACACGUGGAUAACCUACCUAUAAGACUGGGAUAACUUCGGGAAACCGGAGCUAAUACCGGAUAAUAUUUUGAACCGCAUGGUUCAAAAGUGAAAGACGGUCUUGCUGUCACUUAUAGAUGGAUCCGCGCUGCAUUAGCUAGUUGGUAAGGUAACGGCUCACCAAGGCAACGAUGCAUAGCCGACCUGAGAGGGUGAUCGGCCACACUGGAACUGAGACACGGUCCAG
rnacentral:rRNA from 1 species